CGGACGGGUGAGUAACGCGUGGAUAACCUGCCUCACACUGGGGGAUAACAGUUAGAAAUGCUGCUAAUACCGCAUAAGCGCACAGUACCGCAUGGUACGGUGUGAAAAACCACGGUGGUGUGAGAUGGAUCCGCGUCUGAUUAGCCAGUUGGCGGGGUAACGGCCCACCAAAGCGACGAUCAGUAGCCGACCUGAGAGGGUGACCGGCCACAUUGGGACUGAGACACGGCCCAA
rnacentral:rRNA from 1 species